rnacentral:SRP_RNA from 1 species
UAUGGAGGCCAAUCAGGUGGAGUUACCAUGAACUCCCCCAGACUUGAAAAAGAGCAAGGGUAAUGAGUAUUUUCCAGGUUGGUUGGUCUCCUAAAAU